UUUCUUCUGAAAUUGACUCAAAUUAUGAUAUUAUGUACAGAAGGGCACAAUGAUGAAUUGAACGCAAGAUCCUGCUGGUGAUCCAACAGACGCAAACACAUCAGAUGCCUAAGAAAAGGACUGGCAAAUAAAAUAGGAAUCCAAACUUGCAAAAGUCUCUUUUACAGACCGCUAGUACUAGUGGGACUCUAGGUACAAGGCACAGUGUAAUUGCUCCAAAUACGCUCAUACAAGUUGCAACAAUGAAUUCUCGAAUGUUUCGAGCAAUGGAUCCAAAGAUUUAGCUGGAAUGGACUCUAGACCACGGACAAUUUAUAUCUUCGCUCUUAAUUAGGAUGGCACAUU